AGAGUUUGAUCAUGGCUCAGGAUGAACGCUAGCUACAGGCUUAACACAUGCAAGUCGAGGGGAAACGACAUCGAAAGCUUGCUUUUGAUGGGCGUCGACCGGCGCACGGGUGAGUAACGCGUANCCAACCUGCCCACCACUUGGGGAUAGCCUUGCGAAAGUAAGACUAAUACCCAAUGAUAUCUCUAGAAGACAUCUGAAAGAGAUUAAAGAUUUAUCGGUGAUGGAUGGGGAUGCGUCUGAUUAGCUUGUUGGCGGGGUAACGGCCCACCAAGGCAACGAUCAGUAGGGGUUCUGAGAGGAAGGUCCCCCACAUUGGAACUGAGACACGGUCCAAACUCCUACGGGAGGCAGCA
rnacentral:rRNA from 1 species